UGAGGUAGUAGGUUGUAUGGUUUAGAAUUACACCGUGGGAGUUGACUGUACAACCUUCUAGCUUUCC
rnacentral:pre_miRNA from 1 species